rnacentral:rRNA from 1 species
AGUGAACGCUGGCGGUAGGCCUAACACAUGCAAGUCGAACGGCAGCACAGUAAGAGCUUGCUCUUACGGGUGGCGAGUGGCGGACGGGUUAGGAAUACAUCGGAAUCUACUUUUUCGUGGGGGAUAACGUAGGGAAACUUACGCUUAUACCGCAUACGACCUACGGGUGAAAUCAAGGGAUCUUCGGACCUUGCGCGAUUGAAUGAGCCGAUGGCGGAUUAGCUAGUUGGCGGGGUAAAGGCCCACGAAGGCGACGAUCCGUAGCUGGUCUGAGAGGAUGAUCAGCCACACUGGAACUGAGACACGGUCCAGACUCCUACGGGAGGCGGCAGUGGGGAAUAUUGGACAAUGGGCGCAAGCCUGAUCCAGCCAUACCGCGUGGGUGAAGAAGGCCUUCGGGUUGUAAAGCCCUUUUGUUGGGAAAGAAAAGCAGCAGGUUAAUACCCCGCUGUUCUGACGGUACCCAAAGAAUAAGCACCGGCUAACUUCGUG